GUACACUCCUACGGGAGGCAGCAGUGGGGAAUUUUGGACAAUGGGCGAAAGCCUGAUCCAGCAAUGCCGCGUGAGUGAAGAAGGCCUUCGGGUUGUAAAGCUCUUUUGUCAGGGAAGAAACGGUGAAAGCUAAUAUCUUUUGCUAAUGACGGUACCUGAAGAAUAAGCACCGGCUAACUACGUGCCAGCAGCCGCGGUAAUACGUAGGGUGCAAGCGUUAAUCGGAAUUACUGGGCGUAAAGCGUGCGCAGGCGGUUUUGUAAGUCUGAUGUGAAAUCCCCGGGCUCAACCUGGGAAUUGCAUUGGGGACUGCAAGGCUAGAAUCUGGCAGAGGGGGGUAGAAUUCCACGUGUAGCAGUGAAAUGCGUAGAUAUGUGGAGGAACACCGAUGGCGAAGGCAGCCCCCUGGGUCAAGAUUGACGCUCAUGCACGAAAGCGUGGGGAGCAAACAGGAUUAGAAACCCCGGUAGUCC
rnacentral:rRNA from 1 species